CUUCGUAUGAGGCUUUACAAUUUGUCUCAGGGGCUUCAACUACAUUCACUCCUAAAGUAGGUCUCAAGAUAAUACAGUUAUACAUGGAAGGUUAUCGACAAGACUGGAAGCUUUCAUUUGAAACGGACACCGUGACUAGAGGUGGUUGGUAGCAAGGUGGAAU